AAGUGAUUGGAUGGGGGCCAAUAAACCACUGUGAUCGAGACAAGAUGGAUGCACUGUCAAGGCAUGGCUUGUAUACCGACAUAAAUUGCUCUAGAAAUGGCUACACUUCCUCCCACAGCAAGGUUGAAGAAUCUGCUGCAACACAGAUGAGUCAAGACAGCUUUGGCUUUCUCACAAUGAAGAACAAGCAACAUCUUAGCAAGAAAGGCUGUGAUUUCAUGGAUAAGAAGAAGGAAUGGAGCCAGAAAAGGCAAAGACAUUGUCAUUCAGACGAGCAUUUGGAAACUCGCCGUUGGAGGGAUACCAUUGUGUGCUGUCUUUUCGCUUUUAAAAUGUUUUUCUUAGUACCUUUCCUUGGUAUGUUUUUCUUGGUGCUUCCCAUUGGAUUGUGUUUUGGUAUAUUAAUUCAUUUUGUGUUUCAUUAUAAUUUUUCAGCAUUAAUAUAAGUUGCCCUGAGACCCAUUUUUGGAUAUAAAUCCAACAAAUAAAUAAUCAGAUCUUGAAUAGAUAGAGGGCAGAGCCGGUCCAACAAUGAGGCAAAUUAAGCGGUUGCUUGGGACGCAAAACAUAUGGGGGCACAGUCAAGACUGCUUUUUCUGUUGAUUUGUUGUAAAAUAUGAUGUUUUGGUGCUUAAUUUGUAAAAUCUUAAUGUAAUUUGAUGUUUAAUAGACUUUUCCUUAAUCCCUCCUUAUUAUCCAACAUUUUCACUUAUCCAACGCUUUUAUUUUUCAGUGAUUGGUUUGGGGGGGUGCCAAAAUUCU
rnacentral:lncRNA from 1 species